rnacentral:rRNA from 1 species
UACGUAGGGGCAAGCGUUGCCGGAAUCACUGGGCGUAAGGGCGCGUAGGCGGCCCUCCGUUGUCGCGUGUGAAAGCCCCGGGCUCAACCUGGGAACGGCGCGCGAGACGGGGGGCUGGAGUUCGGGAGAGGAGCGUGGAAUUCCCAGUGUAGAGGGUGAAAUUCGUAGAUAUGGGAAGAACACCGGUGGCGAAGGCGGCGCUCUGGACC